rnacentral:rRNA from 1 species
AGAGAGAGACAUGCGCGCAUAUCAAUAAGCGGAGGAAAAGAAACUAACUAGGAUUCCCUCAGUAACGGCGAGUGAAGCGGGAAGAGCUCAAAUUUGAAAUCUUCAAGGUUCUACCUUGACGAAUUGUAGUUUAAAGAAGUGUUUUCUGUUGGAGUUUUGGUAAAAGUUCUUUGGAAUAGGACAUCAUAGAGGGUGAGAAUCCCGUAUUUGACCAUUUACUUUCAGCUUUGUGAUACACUUUCAAAGAGUCGGAUUGUUUGGGAAUGCAGUCCAAAAUGGGUGGUAAAUUUCAUCUAAAGCUAAAUAUUGGCGAGAGACCGAUAGCGAACAAGUACCGUGAGGGAAAGAUGAAAAGAACUUUGAAAAGAGAGUUAAACAGUACGUGAAAUUGUCAAAAGGGAAGCGUUUGACACCAGUGUUGUUUUUCUGAAAAUCAAUUAAAGAACUGUUUAUGCUAAGCUGUUUAGACUUUAUCAGCUAUCUGUUUAGUUUUGAGCUUUUCUUUAAUGCACUUUUCAGUUAACAAGUCAACAUCAAUUUCUUUUGCUGUAAAAAAGCUUGAGGAAGGUGGCUUGAGAUUCGUCUUAAGUGUUUAUAGCCUCUUGCCUAUGCAGUCGGAGAGAUUGAGGUCUGCAGCGUAGAUCCUUCGGGGCUAAUGCAUUUGUGCUAAGUUAUAGCAUUUUAUAGACAACUUGUUGACUAUGAUCUGUCAUGUAGCUUACUCGCUUAUGCUAUUUUACCUACGCUUAGGAUGUUGAUGUGAUACUGCGAGCA